rnacentral:rRNA from 1 species
UACGUAGGGGGCUAGCGUUGUCCGGAAUCAUUGGGCGUAAAGCGCGUGUAGGCGGUUCGGUAAGUCCGCUGUGAAAGUCGGGGGCUCAACCCUCGGAUGCCGGUGGAUACUGUCGAGCUCGAGUACGGAAGAGGCGAGUGGAAUUCCUGGUGUAGCGGUGAAAUGCGCAGAUAUCAGGAGGAACACCAAUUGCGAAGGCAGCUCGCUGGGACGUUACUGACGCUGAGACGCGAAGCGUGGGAGCAAACAGG